UGAAAUAUUAAGUUUAAACUUAUAUAGCUGAAUAAAUUUAGUUGAAACCUGAUUAUUGUGUUAAAGUAAGUUAAAGUAACAUAAAAAACGUUUGUUUUUCACAGUGUAUGUACAAAAUAAGUAUGGUCAGUACACAUAUGAAACUGCAAGCUUUUAUUUUGAAUGCGUUUAAUUGUGAUUAAUCUUUUGACAGCACUUAUAUAUAUAUAUACGUAAAGUAAGUUGGUUUGGAUAAACAUGGUUCCUAAAUUAUUAAAAGUUAAAUAAAAUAAAAAUUUAACUCAAUAUGUCUACACUACUGGAUAAAAGUCUUGUUGCUUAUUCAAGUUUAAGGAACAGUAACUAGUAGCUUGACUUCUAGUUGAUCAUUUGGUGUCAGAAGUGGCUUAAAUGAAAGGCAAAGGCCUCUAGAUGACGCUUAUUUGAGCACAAUGAAAUCUGAUCAUGUCUGAUUUUGAAUGAUUUCAUCAGGACAGUAAGGUCUGACUCUGCUCUGCUUCAGUCUCAUCACUGAUCAGAAAUAAUGUCCAGUAUAGAAUAUAAAGUCCUGCUGCAGUGGAGACAGAAUGAAUAUUGUGUCUGACUCCAUCAUGAGCUUGGAGGACUGCAUCCAUACAUCUCUGACAUGACUCAAAUCACUGAUUAAUAAAGUCAUCUGGAAUGGUGAAGAAAGCGUUCCUGCAGGACUCCCAGAGUUCAUCAAGAGUCUUUGGAUUCAUCUUCAACACCUCCUCCCCAUCUUACCCCAGACAUGCUCAAUAAUGUUCAUAUCUGGUGACUGGGCUGGCCAAUCCUGGAGCAGCUUGACCUUCUUUGCUUUCAGGAGCUUUGAUGUGGAGGCUGAAGUAUGAGGAGCGCUAUCCUGCUGGAGAAUUGUCCCUCUCCUGUGGUUUGUAAUGUAAUGGGCAGCACAGAUGUCUUGAUAUCUCAGGCUGUUGAUGUUGCAGAUCUCUCGCACGCCCCCAUACUGAAUGCAACCCCAAACCAUGAUUUCUCCUUUACCAAACUUGACUGAUUUCUGUAAGAAUCUUGGCUCCAUGCAGGUUCCAGUAGGUCUUCUGCAGUAUUGUGAUGAUUGGGAUGCAGAUCAACAGAUGAUUCAUCAGAGAAAUCCACCUUCUGACACUUUUCCAAACGAUCAACUAAAAGACAAGUUAUUAUUUGUUGCUCUUACAUCUUCCAGUGCUCAUUAUAAGUUAGCGCACCCCUUUUGAAAAUAAAUAGUUUUCACCAUUCCUCAGUAAACAUUUUAAUAGUUUAUUAUAUUUUAUUAAAUUGUUAUAUC
rnacentral:lncRNA from 1 species